UUCACAGCUCGUAGACGUGGGUCAGAGGGUUCCGAUAAUACAGAUAAUGGAGAACGUCGUGCUCAUCGCAAUGCUCUCCUUCACCAGCGGGUUGCAAAUAUGCAGAAACAUGCCAGACCCGCUGAAGACAAAAAUCAGGUAGGAGAAUGGUAUAAUG